GGCCGCAUGGUCAGUUGAAGAAAUGCUCCGGCGCUUUAGGAGGGUCUGCGGCCUAUCAGCUAGUUGGUGAGGUAAUGGCUCACCAAGGCAUCGACGGGUAGCUGGUCUGAGGAGGACGAUCAGCCCACACUGGGACUGAGACACGGCCCAG
rnacentral:rRNA from 1 species